rnacentral:lncRNA from 1 species
GAUCUUGGCCUUAGUCUUUUGGGAGACGUAACACCACCAGGUGCCAGAAUAGUAGGUGCAGAAGAUUUGUCUCUGGAUGAUACUGCCAUUCGAGGUGCAUGUUUCAUGGAUUCCAGUUCAUUUGACAUUAGGGAGCUGAUUGUCCCAAUGGUUCCAACUUUGAUGGACCCUCCACCACCUUUGAUGGCCUCCAAUGUCUGAACCAUGUUUUUCUCCAGUCUCUAUCAGAGUUCUGAGCAGAACUUUUGUAAGAGAAACUUUUAAAAUCUCUUCAGCUAGUUGGGACAG